UGCAGAAAUUGCUUCCUAGUCCCCGGCUAACACGUGUUCUUUCAGUGGGUCUAAAGGAAUGCCUACAAACUAUUGGCGGUAAAGAAAGGAUUGUUGUGGAAUCUUUGGGGUGUCGAUUUUCUUCCCGGAAAACUCGGUGGUCAGUGGCACUUUCUUGAGUCCAGAAGAAUGAAGUAAGCAGACGUAUGAAGGGCGAACAAGGUGAAGAUGAGCUUUAUUAAGUGUUACAGCAGCUUGGAGGAGACCGCAGUGGGCAGGUGCACUCUGCAGCAGGUCAGCCGUGGGCCCUACUCUGGCUGAGCCCAGGGCUUUUAUGGAGCUCAGAGGGGAGGAAGUGCGAAGGGCCCGUGGGCGCCACGGGCAGGCCGGAAGAGGCACCCCAAGUCCCCACUCUGGUCUGCCGCCUAACAACCCAGCUGCAGCCUCCAGCCUCUCCCUGGCCUGAGGUGGGGCCUUGCUGGGGGCCCACCCCUUCCGCCCGGGGUCCGCCCCUUCGUCCUGGGGGUCCGCCCCUUCCGCCCGGGGGUCCGCCCCUUCCUCCUGGGGGUCCGCCCCUUCCGCCCGGGGGUCUGUCUGCCUCCCCUCCCGCUGCGGUUCGCGGGCCCCUGGGGCUCGUCCUGACCGGCGUUCUGAGACUGGGGCAGCCAGGAGGGAAGACAGUCCGGGCGGCUGAGCAGACCCCGAGCCUACUUCUCCAGGUAAUGUCUAGGGCUUGUGUCAUCCAAGGAAGCCACAUGGUCCAGGGCUGUAGGUUGUGCAGGAUCAUUUUCUUCAUCUCUGGUACUGGGGUAAGUCCUAGCCACACCAUAGUAUUGUUUGAUACAUCGUGCUGGAAUCCAAAGAGGGCCUGAGGGGUGCGAACACAAGCACAUCCUCUUCUCCAUGUUAGCAAAUCAUCCGGACCACAUCAUUCAUUGCUAUUUACAUCUUCCAUAAAACUGCGGGUUUUAUGUCUUGAGAGGUUUUAGCAAAGUGCUUUUCUAUAGCCAAUUGAAAUGUGUCAUCUAAAUUUAAAAAUUAAGGGUGAUUAAAGCUUGUGCUCGUAGUAUUGCAGGGGUUAAAUACCUGGGAGAAUCCAGGACAGCGUUGCCUUUUCAGACAGAAAAGGCGUUUUGCAACUUACCAGUUAUGCCCAAGGUGGAGCAGGAGCAGUUAAUGUCGCCCAGUAAUUUUCGAUAAUCAUUGAAGGUAUGUAAGUUGCUGGUAUUUAAUUUAACCUUUUGAGGCCUAACUGAUCGGGAAGUUAGUGUGUAUAGGACAUUUGUACUUUUUCAGGUGCCAUGACCAAACCUCUUAACAUACUGUAUUUUAAAAAAUUGCUUAGAGUGGAUAUCAAGUGUUCUCAGUAGGGGAAAAAAAGUAUGUCAGGUAAUGCAUAUGAUAAUUAGGUCAGUUUAGCCAUUCCACAAUGUAUUUCAAAGCCACAUGUUGUACGUGAUAUAUAUACAUAGAAUUUUAUGUGUUAAUUUAAAUAAAUUAACACAUAAAGAGGAUGAGGCUGCUGAG
rnacentral:lncRNA from 13 species